rnacentral:rRNA from 1 species
UACGGAGGGUGCAAACGUUGCUCGGAAUUAUUGGGCGUAAAGGGCUCGUAGGCGGCCAACUAAGUCAGACGUGAAAUCCCUCAGCUUAACUGGGGAACUGCGUCUGAUACUGGAUGGCUUGGAUCCGGGAGAGGGAUGCGGAAUUCCAGGUGUAGCGGUGAAAUGCGUAGAUAUCUGGAGGAACACCGGUGGCGAAGGCGGCAUCCUGGACCGGUAUUGACGCUGAGGAGCGAAAGCCAGGGGAGCAAACGGG